rnacentral:lncRNA from 1 species
CUUUAAAUAUUAGAUCUUCAAGUAGCUAAGUUAAUAAAACAAACUAAAACAAAAACUUAUAGGAAGUUAGAGGGCUUCACUUCUGUCUGGGAUAAAAAAGUCACGAACUUUCCUUAGGUCUUUUACAAUAUGAAAACAGUGCCCAGAUGAAGUCCCAGAGCAUUGAACUACAGAGUGCUUAUUUCUUUCAAAAGACCAGGGAUUGGAAGACAGGAAUUAGAGGAUAGCCAGGAUCCAGGCCAGUUCAGAGCCUUUACAGAUAAGAAUUCCAUCUUCUAGGGACAAUUCUGUUAUAGGCAACAAUGAUCUGUGACUUCUUUUGAGAUCAUAGUUCUUGACUAAGUCAAGAACUCAAGUUCUUUAUCUUGGUGUACCUCCUAAAAACAAUAAACUCUCUGACCUGGAAGAUUUUGAGAAUAGGGAUUUGUGAGUGUUCUGGGUCCACCAGAAAUAGUGGAUUCCUAUGGAUAACUGGACAGGCACAGCAGUACAACUCAAUCUCAGUGUGUAGUUCUAGACACCUAAGAUAAUUGCUGUACUAUUUAAAUUGUUUUCACAUUUUUUUACUCUGAGUUAAUCUUCCUUACAAACCUGGACACCUGCUUAAGGGGUUUUCUCCUUCUUUAUUAUAUUUUUCCCUUUUGCAUAUUUAUUUUAGACCUGGGUUAAUUCAGAAAAGUAGAAAAAAGGUCUCUAAGAUAACCAAUAAUGUUCUGGAUAUUUCUUUCCAUUCUGUCUAGAUUUUCCUGUUCUGGUUUUGAUUUUGGUUUUGCAAGCAAUGCUGUAACUGUUGUUCUGUUUUUGUUUUCACUUAGUCAUCUUAACAUAAUUUAAAUAUCAUUUUUCUGUUAACACAAGUUUCUCACAAAUGCCAUAUUGGUAGGUGCAUAAUAAUCCAUCUAAUGAGUGUGUUGUGAUUAUUCAACAAUUUCUCUAUAAUUAGCCAAGUAUGAAAAACUGUUUUAAAAUAUAAUAUGUUAUGAUGGCAAAGAUCUAGUAAAAAUGGAAUUGUCCA